rnacentral:rRNA from 1 species
ACAAGCGGUGGAGCAUGUGGUUUAAUUCGAAGCUACGCGAAGAACCUUACCAGGUCUUGACAUACUAUGCAAAUCUAAGAGAUUAGACGUUCCCUUCGGGGACAUGGAUACAGGUGGUGCAUGGUUGUCGUCAGCUCGUGUCGUGAGAUGUUGGGUUAAGUCCCGCAACGAGCGCAACCCUUAUUAUCAGUUGCCAGCAUUAAGUUGGGCACUCUGGUGAGACUGCCGGUGACAAACCGGAGGAAGGUGGGGAUGACGUC